UAACAAGUCAAGUACAAGUCAAAAAAUUUAUUACUCGUACAAGGCAAGUCAAGUCGCAAGUACACGCAAAAUAGCGAGUACUCGCCUUGUGCCCAACCCUACAAAUUGAUACGACCCCAAAGAACAGUUUUUGCUAAAACUUCAGCAAUUUCUUGAAUACUUGACUGGGAUAUUAAACUUUGAGUAUUCAAAAAUGCUCAAGUUAUUUCUAAUGAAACGGCUAACGGCUCGAUAUUAGAUUGAUUCUUCUAAAGCACGGUUCUGCUCGUACUAAUCCAAUCGUUCUCCAAGUAAAAAAAUAUACAUUUCCUCUUUUGAAACUAUAUUUUUUUAUGUUAUUUGACAUACAAUAAUUUUGAUAUGCCUAUUAUGAAUAUGCACCUCAUGCGAUCGAUAAAUCUUUUAAUCUUAUUAGACUUUGCAGUACCAAUCAAGAAUCCGCAAAAAUUCUAUAAAUUCUUGUUAUACACAUGUUCCAAUUAUUAAUUCGCUUUUCUAUGUUCAGCAAUAUUGAAUCAAUCGAGUGAACUUCUAAUCUACUUUUGGAAGACCUUGUGAUCUUGAUUUUUCAUAUAUAAAUGUAACUAAUGUAUUCACCUCGUAAAAAAGUUUCUCGAUAAUGCUCAUAAACUUUUGUUCCCAGAAUAGACAAAUAUGGCUUAGCAAAUCUUAUUACUACAUAAUUCUUUUGAAUAAUUAAAACUUGACUUGACUCUAGGUAUGAUUAUUUUGGAUAUACAUUACAUACAUUUUCACAAAAGAAAAUUGUCCAAAACUAAUUAUUGUGAACGUUUCCUCACAAUAAUCAUGAUUAUAAUUUGGAUGGAGAAAAUACCAAUUGAAUUUGAAUAUACUCUACAUUUUCUUAUACUCCCCCUUAAGAUGUAUGGUUCUUUAAGAUGUAAGAAACUACACUCCUGCUGUAAUUACUGCUUACCUUAAUCACAUGAAGAUCUCUGCACUGGCGGAGAACGCACAAUCAUCGAUGUUUAGUGAAGUGUUGGCUACUGCUGGAAGGGAAAUUGUGACAAAGGACAUAACUAGGAUGCGUGGUGGCUGGCCAAUGCAAGAUGCAUUUUAUGUAAGUAGCGUUCUCUCUAAACUAUGUUAUAUUAUGAGACAACUCUUUUCUUUCAUGGUUAUAUCAUCUUCCACAGAAGUCUACCAAAAUUAGGCAUAAUCGACUGACUUGAAGUUUACUUCUAGUGUACGAUACUUAAGGGAGUUUGUUCUUGAUCAAAUACUUGAAGGGAGUUAAUAACAUUUUGCACAUGGCACAUCUUCUUAGAAGUGUGAUUGUAUUUGCAGGGUGGGUUAAUGAUAAGAAUCUACUGUGUUGCGCAGUUUCCCCCUGACUAGUAAUUCUUAGGCAGGUUGAUAAUUUCUUAGUCAAAAGGAAGUGUCAUGUAACCCUUGUAUUGAGGUUUGAGGGUUAUGAAAUUUUCAGGUUUAGGUAUUCUGGUGAAGUAAUUUAGGCUUAUAUGAUGCUGUUACCUUCUCUCAGUUUUCUUUCUGAGCUUCUUUAUCAUUUGGGCAGUAUAAAUAAUUUGACGAGGCAUCUCAUUUUCAAUCAAUUUUGAUGCAGGUUUUCUCUCAGCAUACGGAGCUUUCAGUUUCGUUCAUGGAAACACUUGAUAUCUGUUCUCAAUCGUAGUUCUUUAGUUAAAGGUGAUUCACACAAGGAUUCACAUAAGGGAGACAAUUCAAGCUCUUCUUCUGAAACACAUGUAGAAGAUGAGUUACUUCAAGCUGCCAUUUUUGCUCUCACUGCCAUUUUUAGGUUCGUUUCUCAAACCAUGAAUUUACUUGUGUGUACGUAAUGCAUUUUUGGUUGCUGAUAUACUAAAUUAACCAGAGGUGGCGGAAAAAUUGGAAAGAAAGCUAUUGAGAAAAGUUACUCUUCUGUUGUUGGGGCACUUACUCUUCAACUGGGAAGCUGUCAUGGACUUGCAAGCACUGGUCAGCAUCCAUUACGGUAACUCCCCUACUUUCAAGAGAUUUAACAAUUGGUAGUGAAGCCUUUGUAAUUUUUUUUCAGAGUACUUCUGACUUCCUUCCAGGCUUUCUGAGAGUGUGUUGGUGAUUUAGAGAUGGGCAAGAUUUUGGCUCGUAAUGGGGAGCAAAGAGAAAAGGAAAAGUGGGUUGAUCUUAUUGGAGAUAUUGCUGGAUGCAUUUCAAUUAAGAGACCAAAGGAGGUUCAACAUAUUUGCAUAAUUCUAACGAAAGCACUAAACCGUCCACAAAAGAUUCCAAAGGGAAGCUGCUGCCGCUGCAUUGUCAGAGUUCAUACGUUACAGUGGUGAUUUUAGCUCUGUGAUGGAGGAGAUGGUCGAAGCACUCUGCCGACAUGUGUCAGAUGAUUCUCCGACUGUAAGGCGACUUUGUCUGAGAGGAUUAGUGCAGGUAAGAGUUAUUCUUAUCAUUUUUUAAAUGUCUAUCUUGAUUUUGUAAGAGGAGUAAGGCAAGAAAGAGUUUAUUUCGAUUUCUGCUAUUUUCGGCGCAAAGUUUAUUAUUCGGGAAUGCACAACUUAGUUGCUUUGGGGUAUUGCCAGAUGGCAUUUGCUUGUAUGAACCACUACACAACCUCAAGUUAUUGGUGUAAUAUUAGCGUUGCUCGAUGAUUUGGAUGAGUCAGUGCAACUAACUGCUGUGUCAUGCUUAUUGAUGGUAACGACUCAAUAUUUCUGAACUUUGUAUGUCAGAUGUAUGCUCUUAUGUGAUUGUUUUCUUUUGUUUAGGUCACAGAGACAGCAUCUAAUGAUGCUGUUGAACCUAUCUUGCUGAAUUUAUCUGUUCGGCUUCGUAACCUUCAGGUAACUUAUCUGAAACAAAUACUGUACGAGAUAAAACAAAGCUGAAUGUUUUUUACUGAACUGACUAAACCUUGAACGGAAGCAAAACGCAAAAUUAGUUGUCUAAGUUUGCUAAACUGCUAGGUACAUUGUUUAUGAUUGAUAGUGCUAUGCCACUAACCUUGAAAUUCUUAUUUGUAACAACAGAUUAGCAUAGACCCGAAGAUGAGAGCCAGCGCAUUUUCAGCUUUUAAAAACGGAGAGGAGCUCGACUUGAUCGGACCGACUCAGGUAGAAAAUCCAAUGAUCCCGAGUCUGCUAAGAA